UAAGAAUGAACCGCAUUGUGGGGUGUAUGGAGUCACAGAUAGGGAAGAGCAGUUUCCAUGGGGCUUGGAUACAGGGAGGAGUCCUGCUAUCUCAUUGGUGGAUAAUAAGGAACCAAUAAAGUAUACUCUUUGUAGACCAGCCUGCCUUCUGAAGAUUAAACUGAAGCCCUGUUUCUAUAGUAAAUUCUUAUCUAUAAAAGUUGGAGCUUGUGAAAGAACUUUUGACCGGCAAUAUGUGUAUGUUUAUCUUACAAAUAGAUUGGCACGACCCACUAGAUUGACCCACGUCUGGUAUCUGAUACACUUUGUACAAAUGGGCGCAGCUCUGAACUCAAAGAAAUUACAAUUAAUCAGCAUGAACAUUGUUGUGUCUAAAAAGCGGUAAUCCAAGGCACUGACAUGCUUGACUAAAAUUCUCUUAUGAUGUACCCUGGCUUUGCAUAUAGUCACUUACAUAAGACAUGGUUUUGCUGGAAAAUCAAGAAGAUUUCGUACACUGAAGUUUGCUAAGACUGGAAAGUUGUGUUCAAGUAAAUAAAGUUAUAGUCUGACAUUG